UCGAAGUGUUCCGGUGACGGUUGGGAUCCCUGCGCGAGGAGAGUGAAAGGGUCUCGGGGCGCUCCUCACCCUCCAGGUCCUGCAUCCGAAACGCGCGGCACGAGGAGUGGGAUUGGAGAGGAAGCGCGCGGCCGGAGUCCCAGAGCUAGAGUCGAGCAGGCGCCGGGUCUCCAGACUCCGGCUCCCGGCCCCGGCAUCGAUCCCUCCGCCCGCCCGUCCGCCCGUCCCCCGGAGUCGGAGUAGGGAGGGCAGUCCGAGCCCCUCAGCCCAGUAGGUGUCAGUCAUUUGCCUCCGGGAUGACAAGCUCCGGACGCAGCCACCAUGCAGGGUCGCCUCCCCGAGGCUGAAUGUGUGUCGCCCUCAGAUUGUUCGCACUUUGAGUAUGCAGGCACGUAAGAGAUCAGCUCUUCCGCAACCAGAUGACCUCGGGUCAUCACCUUCGGGUCUGCAAUUUUCCAACCUGCCCAAGAGUGCCCAAGCUCGUCAUUGAACCCCCUCGCCAGCACCCCUCCCCACUCCCUGGAGCCGCUAGCCUCUCGGAGCGGAGGAAGAGCCCGCGGAGCAAAACUCUGGGUGGACCCUUCUCGGGGAGAAGAUCGGAGGUCGUGGAGCCAACUCUGCUGCCGCCGGAAAGGAAACGUGUUAACCAUCUCCUCUGUUACCCGUCGAAAAAUCUUAGAUAACACUUUGAGUAAAAGAGAGGCAUUUUGUUUGCUCGCAAGGGCGCAAGAUUUUCAGGACGGUGAGCCUGAAAUAGAGUUAACCCAAUUUGCUUCUCAAAUUAUUACACGGGGGUCACAAUUUCGAUUGUAUCUCGUUUGGGGCCGUUUGGACUAAACACAGUUUUUAAAAGAUAGGACCUUCCUUUUCUCGAGGCUUAUAUUAGAAAGCAGAGCCUUUGGGAAGUUCCUGGACACAGCUCUCAUUUGCAGCUGCCUCUGCGAUGACGCUAGAAGGGGCCGGUCUGGAAGGUUGUAAAUCUUUUCUCUUUAGUACUGGAAGCUUUUGGAGAGUGAGCGUAGAGUGUUCCUUCAGUCACAUGGCUAGGCCGAGGCUUGUAUGCUAGUGUGUUUUUGUUUGUUUUUUCUCCUUGUACUCCAUGUCCCCGUCCACAAUAAAACUUAAGGAGCGAUGGUGGAGUGGCGAGCUUAGCAGCUCGCACCAGCAGAGGACCCUCCUCGGGUCCCAGCCACGCGCACUGCCCUACCUGAGCCCAGCUAUGCAGCUACCCCAGCCAAGGAAAGCGAAACUCGAUUAUUCCUUUGGGGCCCUUACCCCGACCCCCCACCCCGAGAUCUUUGUCAUCUCAGGGAGAUGCUGCCAUCUUCAAAUUGUACCCUCUCAAGAAAGUCUUUUUUCAAAACUUUUCUGACUGCAACUCAGUGUCGAAAUACAUUUUAAGUCACAACUCAAUA